rnacentral:rRNA from 1 species
GACUAACGGCUGGCGGCGUGCCUAAUACAUGCAAGUCGAACGGGAUUCUUGAUCAGUUUGCUGAGAGAAGGAUCUAGUGGCGGACGGGUGAGUAACGCGUGGGAAUCUGCCUCUUACUGGGGGAUAACAGUGGGAAACUACUGCUAAUACCGCAUAAGAUCUUCGGAUGAAAGGUGCAACUGCACCGGUAAGAGAUGAGCCCGCGUCCCAUUAGCUAGUUGGUGAGGUAAAGGCUCACCAAGGCGACGAUGGGUAGCCGGCCUGAGAGGGUGAACGGCCACACUGGGACUGAGACACGGCCCAGACUCCUACGGGAGGCAGCAGUAGGGAAUCUUCCGCAAUGGGCGCAAGCCUGACGGAGCGACGCCGCGUGAGUGAUGAAGGCCUUCGGGUCGUAAAGCUCUGUUCUUGAGGACGAAUAAGCCAGGGAGUGGAAAGCCCUGGUGAUGACUGUACUCAAGGAGAAAGCUCCGGCUAACUACGUG